ACCAGCGAAAAGAGCGUUAGGGGAGACGCAACGUCUCUUCUUCCACACGAUUCCCUCGCCAUCCGAUCCCCUGCGCCCGCGCCUCCGCUCCGCCGCCAUGCCUAGCCCGCACGCGAGCUCCUCCCGCGCGCAGCCCCGUAUUUCAUUUUGGCGCGCACCCGACCGCGCCAACAUCCUCUCCAUCUAUUUAUCUGCCAGUCCCAAAUUUUCCCCAAUCACUCGUGCAGGAAGAAACCGUCCAAAUCCCUCUACUCUCUAGCUACAAUCGACGAAAUCCAUCCCCAACCCAUCAUCCCCGAGGAAGGAAUCGUCCCCAAGCGUAGCAGAAGAAUGAAGCGGCGGUCAAAAUCCAAUCAGACCGAUGCUCCAGCCGUCGGUCCGGUCGCCGGUGGAGCUCCAAGAGCCGGCGGUGCACGAAACGCUGGUGUUUCACCCACUGCUGGUGCUCCAGUCUUCCAUCCUCCGACCGUCGGUAGUGGUGCUCCAGGAGCAGCCCCUGCUCCAGAUGCUAGCAUCGAUCCAGGAGCUGGCAGUCCUCCCGGCCGCUCGUGCUACAGUGACAGGUAGCUCAGCACUCCAUCUUCCGGGCGCCGGUGAUUAUCCAUGGUGGCGAGCAGCGUCUCCUGGUAGCUCGAACUGGUCAGUGCUUGGUUGCACAAUUCAAUUGAUCCGGUUGAAGGAAAUGAUAAGAAGUCUGAUCAAUAUUGGUAUGAUGUUACUUCUACUUACAACAGCACCACAAAGUACGACCGUAUGAGAAACCGUAACCAGCUGAAGCUCCGUUGGGAGCGCAUUAAGAAACCAGUCACUGAAUUCAAUGGCUGCUAUGCAAGAAUCAGUAAAGUGCACCAGAGCGUCAUGAGUGAUGACCAAAAGAUGGAUCAAGCAUUGCAGUUGUAUGCCUCUGAACACAGUGACAAGCCUUUCACAAUGGUGCAUGUAUGGAGGGUAUUACGACAUGAGCAUAAGUGGUCUGCACAUGUGAAGAAAUUGAAUAAUGAAAAGGACAAGAGUGCAGCUUCUAACCCUGCUCAUGUUGUGAAUGUUGAAGAUGACAGCGUCCCAUCAGCCGCAAGAAGACCAAAGAUGAACGCAACAGAAAACGUGCAGCACCGGAGCCUUUCAACUCUGCAAGAAGCAACAAUCUCUCAAGGACCUAACCCAGAAAUGGAAGAAGUGAUGCAAAGAAAUGCUACUAUUCGUGAUCGUGCUGCUCAUAGACAACUUCAAUCAGACUUGAUUGAACAUAUCCGGCAGAAGUUUGGGAAUUAACAAUUAUUAGAUCAGGUCGUGCCAAUUUGGUGUUGCUGUCAACCUGGAGAACUGCUCGUGUCUACUGAAAUUCUACCUUCUGAUGUCAUCAGACUACCUAAAUUAUCCUAGCAUGUAGUGUCAUAUUAUCUGUUAUUUUGGUGUCAUGCAUGUGGCCAACUUGUGGCUUCAUGUGUUUAGUCUGGUGCUGCAAGUGCUGCUGUAUGAAUUGCUCACGAGAGAUUACCAGUUUGAGUCCUGCCAUUUUGGCUACCAGUUUGAGUCGUGACAUUGUGGCUGUCAUGUUACUUUAUUAUCAAAAUGGAUGCCUAUAUAUAUUUAAGUUUAUUUGUGUCAA